UACGGAGGGUGCAAGCGUUAAUCGGAAUUACUGGGCGUAAAGCGUGCGUAGGCGGUUCGUUAAGUCUGUUGUGAAAGCCCCGGGCUCAACCUGGGAAUGGCAAUGGAUACUGGCGAGCUAGAGUGUGUCAGAGGAUGGUGGAAUUCCCGGUGUAGCGGUGAAAUGCGUAGAGAUCGGGAGGAACAUCAGUGGCGAAGGCGGCCAUCUGGGACAA
rnacentral:rRNA from 1 species